rnacentral:rRNA from 1 species
CGCCCUUCAGAGGGGGACAACAGUUGGAAACGACUGCUAAUACCGCAUACGAUUCAAUCUCGGCAUCGAGACUGGAUGAAAGGUGGCCUCUAUUUAUAAGCUAUCACUGAAGGAGGGGAUUGCGUCUGAUUAGCUAGUUGGAGGGGUAACGGCCCACCAAGGCGAUGAUCAGUAGCCGGUCUGAGAGGAUGAACGGCCACAUUGGGACUGAGACACGGCCCAG